UUGUGGACUUGAAUGAAUGGUUAGACAAGAUAUUAACUGUCUCAAAUUUUUGAUAAUUAGAAUUUAAAAUUUUAGUUAAAAUGCUUAAAUUUUUUUAAAGGACGAGAAGACCCUAUAGAUCUUUAUUAUUAUUUGAUUUAUUAUUUUUGGUUUAUUUUAUUAUUAAUUUUAAUGAUUUUUUAGUUGGGGUGACGUUGAGAUAUAAUUAACUCUUUAUAUUUAUAUUCAAUUAUUUUUGUUUUAAUGACCUUGUAUUAUUGUUUUAAGAUAUAGAUACCUUAGGGAUAACAGCGUAAUUCUUUUUGAGAGUUCUUAUCGACAAAGGAGAUUGCGACCUCGAUGUUGGAUUAAGAUUAUAAUUAGGUGAAGGUGCUUAAAAUAUUAAGUCUGUUCGACUUUUAAAAUCUUACA
rnacentral:rRNA from 1 species